UGCAUCUGCCGGGAAUCGAACCCGGGCCGCCGGCAAGGCAGGCAAGCAUUCUACCACUGAACCACCGAUGC